rnacentral:misc_RNA from 1 species
AAGUAGAACAAAGCAGACACAAUCAACUCCCUUCUUCUCCCAAGCCAGUCAGCAAUUUGGAAAGCAACAGCAGAUCCAAUUAAAGCACCAUACAGUGAGCCACUAGUUAUGAGACCAGUUUGCACAGAAGACAAAUCAUACCAAGAAAUUCCACUUAAUGUAGCUGACUCUAUGGAAAUUGUAGCAGAGGAUGUGGCUCCAAUAUCAUAACCAUAAAGCAGUCCUCCAAAGGCGGGGAACAGAAAAGGGAGUACUGCGGAGAGUACUGAGUAAUUCUCAGCAUGAUGUUCGCCUUCUAGAAGUGGCUCUCGGACGAUGUUGAUCUCACUAGACGAAUUUUCACCCUUGUCAAUUGAUGAAACAAUUAGCUGCUCGGUAUCGUGGGCUGUCGCCAUUGGAGAAGGUCAAAUUGAAGAUUUAAGCUUACAGGUUAGAUAGAGUAUUGAUCGAAGCUAACUGUAUUUGCUCUUCUUUUUACUAUUUAUUAUAUAAGUUUUGGGAAAGUUAGGUGGGAAAAUACAUUUAGACGAACGCAGAAGACUGAUUUCAAAGAAGAGGCCUACAGCAUAGCAACGUUGCUU